rnacentral:rRNA from 1 species
UACAGAGGGUGCAAACGUUGUUCGGAAUUACUGGGCGUAAAGCGUGUGUAGGCGGUCCGCUAAGUCGGGUGUGAAAUCCCUGGGCUCAACCCAGGAAGUGCACUCGAAACUGGCGGGCUAGAGUAUCGGAGAGGUUGGUGGAAUUCUCGGUGUAGAGGUGAAAUUCGUAGAUAUCGAGAGGAACACCGGUGGCGAAGGCGGCCAACUGGACGAAUACUGACGCUGAGACACGAAAGCGUGGGGAGCAAACAGG